UACGUAGGGUGCAGGCGUUAAUCGGAAUUACUGGGCGUAAAGCGUGCGCAGGCGGUUUCUUAAGUCAGAUGUGAAAGCCCCAGGCUUAACCUGGGAACUGCGUUUGAAACUGGGAGACUUGAGUGUGGCAGAGGGGGGUGGAAUUCCACGUGUAGCAGUGAAAUGCGUAGAUAUGUGGAGGAACACCGAUGGCGAAGGCAGCCCCCUGGGUUAACACUGACGCUCAUGCACGAAAGCGUGGGGAGCAAAAGGG
rnacentral:rRNA from 1 species